rnacentral:lncRNA from 1 species
ACAUCUCUUGGAGUUCUAGCUCACCUUUCUGGUGUUGUUCUUGUACUCAUCUGUUUAAUCUAGUUCUGCCACUUCUUCUUGAACUUCUUGUUAGAUUUCAAGUCUGUAUUUUAUGUCCGUGACAGGUUGAUAAUGCCUCUUAGUAGGUCUAUAUGUUGAUUAUUGCAUUUGUGAUUAAGGAUAAGAUCUUGAUUUUAGAUUUUUUUAAAUGGAUUGGUAUUAUUUUUGUAAU